rnacentral:tRNA from 1 species
ACAUAUCUAGUAUAAUUUAUUACAAAAUUUUUUCGUAAUUUAAAUCCUGCCCAAGGGAAAUGUU